GACGAACGCUGGCGGCGUGCUUAACACAUGCAAGUCGAGCGGAGCGGCGAACGUGCGAGCAACUCGUUAGUAACUGCCCCCCUCCCUGGGAUAACAGUUGGAAACGCCUGCUAAUACCGGAUAGUGGGGGAUGACUCGCGUCCUAUCAGCUUGUUGGUGGGGUAGUGGCCUACCAAGGCGACGACGGGUAGCCGGCCUGAGAGGGAGACCGGGCAAAUUGGGCUGAGAUGCGGUCCAAACGCAUACGGGAGGCAGCAGUGGGGAAUAUUGCACAAAGGGGGAAACCCUGAUGCAGCACCGCCGGGUGCGGGAGGACGGCAUUCGGGAUGUAAACCGCGUUCAGCAAUAGCGCGGAAGUGGCAGAAGAAGCACCGGCUAACUACGUGCCAGCAGCCGCGGAAAUU
rnacentral:rRNA from 1 species